AGAGCGAACGCUGGCGGAAUGCUUAACACAUGCAAGUCGCACGGGCAGCAAUGUCAGUGGCGGACGGGUGAGUAACGCGUAGGAAUGUGUCCUGAGAUGGGGGACAACGCCGGGAAACUGGCGCUAAUACCGCAUGUGACCUGAGGGUCAAAGCCGUAAGGCGUCUUAGGAGCAGCCUGCGUCCGAUUAGCUUGUUGGUGGGGUAAAGCUUACCAAGGCGACGAUCGGUAGCUGGUCUGAGAGGAUGAUCAGCCACACUGGAACUGAGACACGGUCCAGACUCCUACGGGAGCAGCAGUGGGAAUAUGGACAAUGGGCGCAAGCCUGAUCCAGCAAUCGCGUGGUAGAAGAAGGUCUUCGGAUUAGUAAAGCCCGUUUACGGACGGGACGUAUGAGUAGACCGGUACCGUAAGAAGAACGACCCCGGUAC
rnacentral:rRNA from 1 species